CCUACGGGAGGCAGCAGUGGGGAAUUUUGGACAAUGGGCGCAAGCCUGAUCCAGCAAUGCCGCGUGAGUGAAGAAGGCCUUCGGGUUGUAAAGCUCUUUUGUCAGGGAAGAAACGGUGGGAGCUAAUAUCUCCUGCUAAUGACGGUACCUGAAGAAUAAGCACCGGCUAACUACGUGCCAGCAGCCGCGGUAAUACGUAGGGUGCAAGCGUUAAUCGGAAUUACUGGGCGUAAAGCGUGCGCAGGCGGUUUUGUAAGACUGUCGUGAAAUCCCCGGGCUCAACCUGGGAAUGGCGAUGGUGACUGCAAGGCUAGAGUUUGGCAGAGGGGGGUAGAAUUCCACGUGUAGCAGUGAAAUGCGUAGAUAUGUGGAGGAACACCGAUGGCGAAGGCAGCCCCCUGGGUCAAACUGACGCUCAUGCACGAAAGCGUGGGGAGCAAACAGGAUUAGAUACCCUGGUAGUCCACGCCCUAAACGAUGUCUACUAGUUGUCGGGUCUUAAUUGACUUGGUAACGCAGCUAACGCGUGAAGUAGACCGCCUGGGGAGUAACGGUCGCAAGNUUAAAACGUUCAAAUGAAUUGAGG
rnacentral:rRNA from 1 species